GACGAACGCUGGCGGCGUGCUUAACACAUGCAAGUCGAACGGUAAGGCCCCUCGGGGUACACGAGUGGCGAACGGGUGAGUAACACGUGGGUGAUCUGCCCUGCACUUCGGGAUAAGCCUGGGAAACUGGGUCUAAUACCGGAUAGGACCACUGCCUGCAUGGGUGGUGGUGGAAAGCUUUUGCGGUGUGGGAUGGGCCCGCGGCCUAUCAGCUUGUUGGUGGGGUGAUGGCCUACCAAGGCGACGACGGGUAGCCGGCCUGAGAGGGUGACCGGCCAGAGGGGGAAUGAGAUAGGGCCAAGACCCCUAGGGGAGGAAGCAGGGGGGAAUAUUGCAAAAGGGGCGAAAGCCUGAUGCAGCGACGCCGCGUGGGGGAUGACGGCCUUCGGGUUGUAAACCUCUUUCAGCACCGACGAAGCGCAAGUGACGGUAGGUGCAGAAGAAGGACCGGCCAACUACGUGCCAGCCGCCGCAGUAA
rnacentral:rRNA from 1 species